rnacentral:rRNA from 1 species
GAUGAACGCUGGCGGCGUGCCUAAUACAUGCAAGUCGAGCGAACGGACGAGAAGCUUGCUUCUCUGAUGUUAGCGGCGGACGGGUGAGUAACACGUGGAUAACCUACCUAUAAGACUGGGAUAACUUCGGGAAACCGUAGCUAAUACCGGAUAAUAUUUUGAACCGCAUGGUUCAAAAGUGAAAGACGGUCUUGCUGUCACUUAUAGAUGGAUCCGCGCUGCAUUAGCUAGUUGGUAAGGUAACGGCUUACCAAGGCAACGAUGCAUAGCCGACCUGAGAGGGGGAACCGCCACACUGGAACUGAGACACGGUCCAGACUCCUACGGGAGGCAGCAGUAGGGAAUCUUCCGCAAUGGGCGAAAGCCUGACGGAGCAACGCCGCGGGAGUGAUGAAGGUUCUCGGAUCGGAAAACUCUGUUAAUAGGGAAGAACAUAUGUGUAAGUAACUGUGCACAUCUUGACGGUACCUAAUCAGAAAGGCACGGCUAACUUCGUG